AGUCGAACGGUAGCAGGCCCGCAAGGGUGCUGACGAGUGGCGGACGGGUGAGUAAUGCGUAGGAAUCUGCCUAGUAAUGGGGGAUAACCUAGGGAAACUUAGGCUAAUACCGCAUAAGCCCUAAGGGGGAAAGCAGGGGAUCGUAAGACCUUGCGUUAUUAGAUGAGCCUACGUCGGAUUAGCUAGUUGGUGGGGUAAAGGCCUACCAAGGCGAUGAUCCGUAGCUGGUCUGAGAGGACGACCAGCCACACUGGGACUGAGACACGGCCCAGACUCCUACGGGAGGCAGCAGUGGGGAAUAUUGGACAAUGGGCGCAAGCCUGAUCCAGCGAUGCCGCGUGUGUGAAGAAGGCCUGCGGGUUGUAAAGCACUUUCAGUGGGGAGGAAAGGCUCCAUGCUAAUACCAUGGAGAGUUGACGUUACCCACAGAAGAAGCACCGGCUAACUCUGUGCCAGCAGCCGCGGUAAUACAGAGGGUGCAAGCGUUAAUCGGAAUUACUGGGCGUAAAGGGUGUGUAGGUGGUUUGAUAAGUUAGGUGUGAAAGUCCUGGGCUUAACCUGGGAAUUGCGCCUAAUACUGUCGAGCUAGAGUACUGUAGAGGAAGGUGGAAUUUCCGGUGUAGCGGUGAAAUGCGUAGAUAUCGGAAGGAACAUCAGUGGCGA
rnacentral:rRNA from 1 species